AGAUAAUUUAUAAGUGACAAUGCACGCAUGACGAAUACAUGAACGAAAUCACAUUCAGUCAAUCUGAAUAAAUUUUAUGAUGGAUAAAUACUGCUCCAGUCUGAGAACUUUAUUUGAUAUAUAAAUUUAUUUAAGAAUAGAAUUUCUGCUUUGGACCAAGAUCACGCAAGUAGAUUUCCUGUUUGCGAAUAGAUUCGAUUUUUUGCUUUGUGUAUUUUAAUGUAACAUAAGAAAACAAGAUAUUUCUACGAUCAAUAUAAGAUCUACAAAUAAAAAAUAUGAUGAUAAUUAUCGCCCCAGUCUGAAAACUAUGAAUGAGUCGAUUUACUGAUAAAAUUGUUUCUAUUUUGUUUUUGUAUUGAUAUAUUACGGAGAGAAUGCAUUUUAAUAUUCAUGUAUCUCAUAAUUAGGAAGAGAUGGAGGAGUGGAUUGCGGCCUGUUACAAAUUUCCUCUUCAACUCGGGCGUUCAUGAGUAUAUACCAUUUUAGAUGUUUAUCUGAAGAAUGGAUGAAGGCAAAUCUUGGCCAGACCAUGAAAUGCAAUAAGAAUUAACGUAAGUCUAAAAUUUCUUAAUAAAACCGUUAAUAAGAAAGAUAACGUCAAAGUUAUAUUGUGAAAGUUAGGUUUAUUGUCUGAAUAAUUAAGACAUGAUGAAUUUUGAAUUUAAGUUAUCCCUGUCAUACAUAAAAAGAUGGUGAUAAAAGAUGGAAAUUUUCUGAUGUAUCAAUAUGUAUCAUUAAUUGCGCAAUAUAAGUGCAAUUUUCCAAACUAACGGAAACAAUUUCUUUUUCCAGAAUGUGAGAAAUAUGCACGGAGAAUGUGCAAGGUAGUCAUUUCGCUAAGUGAUAACGAACUGUACAUCAAAUUGACGUCUUUCUCAAUAAAAUCGAUAUUGGUUUGCGGAAACAAUGUGACCUUGAAUAAUGAACUGUACAUCAAAAUGACAUCUUUCUCAAUAAAAUCGAUAUUGAUUUGCGGAAACAAUGUGACCUUGUGCGUGAUUCGUACAGAUUCCUGAAGAUGCACAAUUAACUUUGCUGCUUAAAGAUAGCCGGACGUCAAGGGAGAGAGAAGAUGAAAAAUGAAAGAUAUGGAUGGGAAGAGAUGAUGGACAAGAUGAAAUAAAUAGCGAACAUAUUCCAUAGAAA